rnacentral:rRNA from 1 species
GAGUUUGAUCAUGGCUCAGGAUGAACGCCGACAGAAUGCUUAACACAUGCAAGUUUACUUGAUCCUUCGGGUGAAGGUGGCGGACGGGUGAGUAACGCGUAAAGAACUUGCCUUACAGACUGGGACAACAUUUGGAAACGAAUGCUAAUACCGGAUAUUAUGAUUGGGUCGCAUGAUCUGAUUAUGAAAGCUAUAUGCGCUGUGAGAGAGCUUUGCGUCCCAUUAGUUAGUUGGUGAGGUAACGGCUCACCAAGACGAUGAUGGGUAGCCGGCCUGAGAGGGUGAACGGCCACAAGGGGACUGAGACACGGCCCUUACUCCUACGGGAGGCAGCAGUGGGGAAUAUUGGACAAUGGACCAAAAGUCUGAUCCAGCAAUUCUGUGUGCACGAUGAAGUUUUUCGGAAUGUAAAGUGCUUUCAGUUGGGAAGAAGUCAGUGACGGUACCAACAGAAGAAGCGACGGCUAAAUACGUGCCAGCAGCCGCGGUAAUACGUAUGUCGCAAGCGUUAUCCGGAUUUAUUGGGCGUAAAGCGCGUCUAGGCGGCUUAGUAAGUCUGAUGUGAAAAUGCGGGGCUCAACCCCGUAUUGCGUUGGAAACUGCUAAACCAGAGUACUGGAGAGGUAGGCGGAACUACAAGUGUAGAGGUGAAAUUCGUAGAUAUUUGUAGGAAUGCCGAUGGGGAAGCCAGCCUACUGGACAGAUACUGACGCUAAAGCGCGAAAGCGUGGGUAGCAAACAGGAUUAGAUACCCUGGUAGUCCACGCCGUAAACGAUGAUUACUAGGUGUUGGGGGUCGAACCUCAGCGCCCAAGCUAACGCGAUAAGUAAUCCGCCUGGGGAGUACGUACGCAAGUAUGAAACUCAAAGGAAUUGACGGGGACCCGCACAAGCGGUGGAGCAUGUGGUU